rnacentral:lncRNA from 1 species
UUUGAAACUUCUUAAAAGAAAAGAAUGAAAAAUCAUAUAAAUAGAUCCCUUCAUCAAUAACUAGAUAACACAUAACAUAUUUUCUUCUCAGCAAAAAUAAAACUACGAAAAUUACAAUGGAUAUCACAAAAAUCUCAAUCACCCUUUUCUUGGUGAUGACAUUGGCAAUUUCAUCCAACUGUGAAGUUCUGGCCGCAUCAAGUAUAAUCAUUCUUCCCAAAAGAUUUCAUUAUUUUUAUUAUUAUUAUUUUUUAUCUUUGAACAUUUUGAAAGAAGAACUUAUUAUAUAUGUGAUAGAAUUUGCGAUAACCAUGUAUAUGGAUGUGUAAGAACUUUGAUUUGCCAAAAGAAGUACAACUAUUAUUUGGAUAUGGUAUAUAUGAUUAUAAUCUUAACCUUGGUUGUGUAAAGGUGAAGUAAAUAAGACAACAAACUAUGGAGAAUGCAUUUAUGAGGAGCUUUGUGAGAUGGGAAAGUCCGGAACUCAUGAAUGCUUCGUUAAGUGUUCUAAGAAGAAUAAGAAGUACACAGGAGGAAAAUGUAUUCCAAAAAAUCCAGAAUAUGGAUAUUGUUGUU